rnacentral:rRNA from 1 species
CGUGUAGGCGGCCGAUUAAGUUGGGAGUGAAAUUCCUGUUUUCAAGAUGGGAACUGCUUUCAAAACUGAUUGGCUUGAGUGCAGAAGAGGUAAGUGGAAUUCCCAGUGUAGCGGUGAAAUGCGUAGAGAUUGGGAGGAACACCAGUGGCGAAGGCGACUUACUGGGCUGUAACUGACGCUGAGGCGCGAAAGCGUGGGGAGCAAACA